rnacentral:rRNA from 1 species
GGCCAUAUCACUCUGAAUGUCUCUCAUUUCAUCUGAGUUCAUAAGCUAAGCAGAGUUGGGCCUGGUUAAUACUUGGAUGGAAGGAUUACAACAUUUUGGCAGAAAACACCA